CUACGGGCGGCAGCAGUGGGGAAUAUUGGACAAUGGGGGAAACCCUGAUCCAGCAAUGCCGCGUGUGCGAUGAAGGCCUGCGGGUUGUAAAGCACUUUCGGUGGGGAAGAAAUGCUCAAAUAUAAUACAUUUGAGAGCUGACGUUACCCACAGAAGAAGCACCGGCAAACUCUGUGCCAGCAGCCGCGGUAAUACAGAGGGUGCAAGCGUUAAUCGGAGUUACUGGGCGUAAAGGGCGCGUAGGCUGAUGCUUAAGUCGGUUGUGAAAUCCCUGGGCUUAACCUAGGAAUUGCAGUCGAUACUGGGCGUCUAGAGUAUGGUAGAGGAAAGUGGAAUUUUCGGUGUAGUGGUUAAAUACGUAGAUAUCGAAAAGAACACCAGUGGCGAAGGCGACUUUCUGGACCAAUACUGACGCUGAGGCGCGAAAGCAUGGGGAGCAAACAGGAUUAGAUACCCUCGUAGUC
rnacentral:rRNA from 1 species